rnacentral:rRNA from 1 species
GAAGAGAGAGUUCAAUAGACCGUGAAACCGUUGGGAGGGAAGCUCAGGGUGUCGAGCUUGUCGUGCUACUACUGGGUUCAUCUGGUGGUGUCGCCGCUGCCGGUGCAUUUCCAGUAGAAGUUGGACCGUCAGUCGGGAAGAGACUGGUGUCUGUUCAUCGAUGUCGGGGAGGUAGGCAGUGCGUCGACCUCGGUCGCUCAUUGUCACGUAUAGCCCGUACGUCGUGGCCUCAGUUGUCUUUCAGGUGUGUUGGACGGCUACUCGUCCAUAAUGGGAAGGUACAGCCUCUCCUCGUGGGAGUUCGGGACUGUUGAUGCGGUUGCUGGGCAUUGUGGAAUAGUGUACCGUGCCUCCGCCGUUCGAUUCGUUCAGCGGUGCGAGGUACGGCGCUGCCCGCAUUGGCCUUGUCCCGUGUCGACAGUGUCUAAGUACUGUGCCAAGGUGACUGGCGAAGAGUCGUUACUCUGUGCCCCGUC